GGUUCCAUGGUGUAGUGGUGAGCACUUUGCACUCUGAAUCCAGUGAUCUGAGUUCAAAUCUCAGUGGGACUU